rnacentral:rRNA from 1 species
UUGCACGCUGGCGGCAGGCCUCACCCAUGCAAGUCGCGCGGAUGAAGAGAGCUUGCUCCUGGAUUCAGCGGCGGACGGGUGAGUAAUGCCUAGGAAUCUGCCUGGUAGUGGGGGAUAACGUCCGGAAACGGGCGCUAAUACCGCAUACGUCCUGAGGGAGAAAGUGGGGGAUCUUCGGACCUCACGCUAUCAGAUGAGCCUAGGUCGGAUUAGCUAGUUGGUGGGGUAAAGGCCUACCAAGGCGACGAUCCGUAACUGGUCUGAGAGGAUGAUCAGUCACACUGGAACUGAGACACGGUCCAGACUCCUACGGGAGGCAGCAGUGGGGAAUAUUGGACAAUGGGCGAAAGCCUGAUCCAGCCAUGCCGCGUGUGUGAAGAAGGUCUUCGGAUUGUAAAGCACUUUAAGUUGGGAGGAAGGGCAGUAAGUUAAUACCUUGCUGUUUUGACGUUACCAACAGAAUAAGCACCGGCUAACUUCGUG